GAGGCGAAUUAAAACACGCACUCGAAAAAAGAUAACUUGCACCGAAAAAAUAAGAGUGUAACAACAAUUAAUUGACCGCUUCAAUCAGAUCUAAAAUCAACAUUCUUCAGAUACGUUCCUUCUCCUCCAAACUUAAACAAGAGUAAAGUUUCACUUUCACUUCAAAACAGUGAACAUAGCACCAUCAGCUCAAAUAAAUAAAUAAGCUGAGCUAGAAAGGAGAGGAGAUGGAGGCGAAGAAGGUGAGAAAAUUGAAAAGGGGAAGCGUGAAACAGUGAAAAGAAACAAACUUUGAAGAUCACAUAGGAAGGGGUGAAGCGACGAAACCCCAGGAUCGGAGAGAGAAGUAGAAAGAAAGAAGGAACCUUUGGAGGUGAAUGCAUGUGAAUGGUGAAAGAAGGAAGAAGGAAGUGAUGACAGGUGCAGAAAGUAGUUCCAGUCGUGUCAAUUCAUCUUCAUCCAAAACCAAACCAUGUUUGACAUUUGCCGUUCCAUUCUUGACGAUGAUGUCUUAUAUAAUUAUUAAAUAAAUAAAUAAAUAUUUAGUAAGAAAUAAAGUAAGUAUGAGUUAGUUCGUUCCAGCUGCUCCAGAAACUAUUAAUAUUAAAAAAUAAAAAAUAAAUUUUUGAUGGAUUUGUAAUUUGGGUACACCAACACCAACACAAGUCGCC